rnacentral:rRNA from 1 species
GACUUACGUUGAAAAGUGAGCGGAUGAACUGAGGGUAGCGGAGAAAUUCCAAUCGAACCUGGAGAUAGCUGGUUCUCUCCGAAAUAGCUUUAGGGCUAGCCUCAAGUGAUGAUUAUUGGAGGUAGAGCACUGUUUGGACGAGGGGCCCCUCUCGGGUUACCGAAUUCAGACAAACUCCGAAUGCCAAUUAAUUUAACUUGGGAGUCAGAACAUGGGUGAUAAGGUCCGUGUUCGAAAGGGAAACAGCCCAGACCACCAGCUAAGGUCCCAAAAUAUAUGUUAAGUGGAAAAGGAUGUGGCGUUGCCCAGACAACUAGGAUGUUGGCUUAGAAGCAGCCAUCAUUUAAAGAGUGCGUAAUAGCUCACUAGUCGAGUGACACUGCGCCGAAAAUGUACCGGGGCUAAACAUAUUACCGAAGCUGUGGAUUGUCCUUUGGACAAUGGUAGGAGAGCGUUCUAAGGGCGUUGAAGCAUGAUCGUAAGGACAUGUGGAGCGCUUAGAAGUGAGAAUGCCGGUGUGAGUAGCGAAAGACGGGUGAGAAUCCCGUCCACCGAUUGACUAAGGUUUCCAGAGGAAGGCUCGUCCGCUCUGGGUUAGUCGGGUCCUAAGCUGAGGCCGACAGGCGUAGGCGAUGGAUAACAGGUUGAUAUUCCUGUACCACCUAUAAUCGUUUUAAUCGAUGGGGGGACGCAGUAGGAUAGGCGAAGCGUGCGAUUGGAUUGCACGUCUAAGCAGUAAGGCUGAGUAUUAGGCAAAUCCGGUACUCGUUAAGGCUGAGCUGUGAUGGGGAGAAGACAUUGUGUCUUCGAGUCGUUGAUUUCACACUGCCGAGAAAAGCCUCUAGAUAGAAAAUAGGUGCCCGUACCGCAAACCGACACAGGUAGUCAAGAUGAGAAUUCUAAGGUGAGCGAGCGAACUCUCGUUAAGGAACUCGGCAAAAUGACCCCGUAACUUCGGGAGAAGGGGUGCUCUUUAGGGUUAACGCCCAGAAGAGCCGCAGUGAAUAGGCCCAAGCGACUGUUUAUCAAAAACACAGGUCUCUGCUAAACCGUAAGGUGAUGUAUAGGGGCUGACGCCUGCCCGGUGCUGGAAGGUUAAGAGGAGUGGUUAGCUUCUGCGAAGCUACGAAUCGAAGCCCCAGUAAACGGCGGCCGUAACUAUAACGGUCCUAAGGUAGCGAAAUUCCUUGUCGGGUAAGUUCCGACCCGCACGAAAGGCGUAACGAUUUGGGCACUGUCUCAACGAGAGACUCGGUGAAAUCAUAGUACCUGUGAAGAUGCAGGUUACCCGCGACAGGACGGAAAGACCCCGUGGAGCUUUACUGUAGCCUGAUAUUGAAAUUCGGCACAGCUUGUACAGGAUAGGUAGGAGCCUUUGAAACGUGAGCGCUAGCUUACGUGGAGGCGCUGGUGGGAUACUACCCUAGCUGUGUUGGCUUUCUAACCCGCACCACUUAUCGUGGUGGGAGACAGUGUCAGGCGGGCAGUUUGACUGGGGCGGUCGCCUCCUAAAAGGUAACGGAGGCGCUCAAAGGUUCCCUCAGAAUGGUUGGAAAUCAUUCAUAGAGUGUAAAGGCAUAAGGGAGCUUGACUGCGAGACCUACAAGUCGAGCAGGGUCGAAAGACGGACUUAGUGAUCCGGUGGUUCCGCAUGGAAGGGCCAUCGCUCAACGGAUAAAAGCUACCCCGGGGAUAACAGGCUUAUCUCCCCCAAGAGUUCACAUCGACGGGGAGGUUUGGCACCUCGAUGUCGGCUCAUCGCAUCCUGGGGCUGUAGUCGGUCCCAAGGGUUGGGCUGUUCGCCCAUUAAAGCGGUACGCGAGCUGGGUUCAGAACGUCGUGAGACAGUUCGGUCCCUAUCCGUCGUGGGCGUAGGAAAUUUGAGAGGAGCUGUCCUUAGUACGAGAGGACCGGGAUGGACAUACCUCUGGUGUACCAGUUGUCGUGCCAACGGCAUAGCUGGGUAGCUAUGUGUGGACGGGAUAAGUGCUGAAAGCAUCUAAGCAUGAAGCCCCCCUCAAGAUGAGAUUUCCCAACUUCGGUUAUAAGAUCCCUCAAAGAUGAUGAGGUUAAUAG